UACGUAGGGUGCGAGCGUUGUCCGGAAUUAUUGGGCGUAAAGGGCUCGUAGGCGGUUUUGUCGCGUCGGGGAGUGAAAAACCUUGGGCUUAACUCAGGGGCUUGCUUUCGAUACGGGCAGACUAGAGGUAUGCAGGGGAGAACGGAAUUCCUGGUGUAGCGGUGAAAUGCGCAGAUAUCAGGAGGAACACCGGUGGCGAAGGCGGUUCUCUGGGCAUGAUCUGACGCUGAGGAGCGAAAAGUGUGGGGGAGCAAACAGG
rnacentral:rRNA from 1 species